UCCUUGCACACACCGCCCCGUCGCUUCACCGAAGCUGGUUCUUGGCGAGGUGGCGCCUAAUUGGGCGCUAUCGAACCUGGGGGUCAGCAACGGGGGAG
rnacentral:rRNA from 1 species